ACGCUUAAGCCCAUGUUGAAACACCGGUUCCCGUACGAUCACUGAAGUUAAGGAAAGUCGAGCCUGGUCAGUAGCUAGAUGAGUGACCACUUGGAA